rnacentral:rRNA from 1 species
AGUGGCGAACGGGGUGAGGUAACAACCGUGGGGCAACCUGCCCAAAANAGGGGGAGUAACACUUGGAAACAGGUGCUAAUACCGCAUAACCAUAGUUACCGCAUGGUAACUAUGUAAAAGGUGGCUAUGCUACCGCUUUUGGAUGGGCCCGCGGCGCAUUAGCUAGUUGGUGGGGUAAAGGCUUACCAAGGCAAUGAUGCGUAGCCGAACUGAGAGGUUGAUCGGCCACAUUGGGACUGAGACACGGCCCAAACUCCUACGGGAGGCAGCAG